rnacentral:rRNA from 1 species
UACAGAGGUCUCGAGCGUUAGGCGGAAUCCCUGGGCUUAAAGCGUGUGUAGGUGGAUCGUUAAGUACCUUGUGAAAUCCCACGGCUUAACCGUGGAACUGCUUGGUAUACUGGCGGUCUUGAGCCACGUAGGGGCUACCGGAACAAAUGGUGGAGCGGUGAAAUGCGUAGAUAUCAUUUGGAACGCCAAUGGUGAAAACAGGUAGCUGGGAGUGUGCUGACACUGAGACACGAAAGCCAGGGGAGCAAACGGG